rnacentral:rRNA from 1 species
UACGGAGGGUGCGAGCGUUGUCCGGAAUCACUGGGCGUAAAGGGCGCGUAGGCGGCCCUGGCAGUCGGUGGUGAAAGCCCGCGGCUCAACUGCGGUCGGCCACCGAUACUCCAGGGCUCGAGUUUGGUAGAGGCGAGAUGGAAUUCCGGGUGUAGCGGUGGAAUGCGUAGAGAUCCGGAAGAACACCGGUGGCGAAGGCGGUCUGCUGGGCCAAGAC